GGUUGUAAACCUCUUUUAGCAGGGAAGAAGCGAAAGUGACGGUACCUGCAGAAAAAGCGCCGGCUAACUACGUGCCAGCAGCCGCGGUAAUACGUAGGGCGCAAGCGUUAUCCGGAAUUAUUGGGCGUAAAGAGCUCGUAGGCGGUUUGUCGCGUCUGCUGUGAAAUCCCGAGGCUCAACUUCGGGUCUGCAGUGGGUACGGGCAGACUAGAGUGCGGUAGGGGAGAUUGGAAUUCCUGGUGUAGCGGUGGAAUGCGCAGAUAUCAGGAGGAACACCGAUGGCGAAGGCAGAUCUCUGGGCCGUAACUGACGCUGAGGAGCGAAAGGGUGGGGAGCAAACAGGCAUAGAUACCCUGGUAGUCCACCCCGUAAACGUUGGGAACUAGUUGUGGGGUCCAUUCCACGGAUUCCGUGACGCAGCUAACGCAUUAAGUUCCCCGCCUGGGGAGUACGGCCGCAAGGCUAAAACUCAAAGGAAUUGACGGGGACCCGCACAAGCGGCGGAGCAUGCGGAUUAAUUCGAUGCAACGCGAAGAACCUUACCAAGGCUUGACAUAUACGAGAACGCUGCAGAAAUGUAGAACUCUUUGGA
rnacentral:rRNA from 1 species